UUCUUCUCUCUCACACGCCGCCACUCUCUCCUUCUCUUACUAUUAUUUUUGUUUUCCACCACUAAAAACCCUAAAUUUCUAAUUGGUUUCUUAAAUCUCUCUAACUAAUACCUUCUAUAUUAACACUCUAUUUAAUCAUAUUUUUCCUCAAUGAAUUUGCAUGGUGAUUCGAUGGAAAACCAUCUAUUUAGUUUCUUCGAAUCUGUCAAUUUUCUUCACAAAUAGAGAUUUUGCUUGAACCCCUUAAAAGGGUAAAUUAAGAUGGAUUAUAGGAAGUCCGUUUCAGCAAGAACUCGAGGCAGAGACGCUCAGAUGUUUAAGCGGAUUCACGACGAGAUUAAACGAACAAAUGGCGGCGGUAAUGGGGUUAGUGUGGAGAAGGAGGUCUCUGGGUGUGCUAAAUUUGGUGGGUUUAAAGGGAGGAAGAAGGUAGAGAAGAAGAAGACGAGGACGAGGACGACGACGAAGAGGAUGAUGAAGAAGAAGAAGAAGGGAGGGAAGAACAGGGGUUUUGAUGAGGGGUUUGAUUUGGUUGCUGAUAGUGAUGAGGUGGUUUGUUUGGUUUCUGAUAGUGACGAUGAGAAGAAAACUGGGAGUGUUCAGGUGGAGGGGAGUUGUAGUGGGGGCAAAUUGUUAUCCAGUGAUGAUGAGAUUGUGGUUCUUUCGGGGAGUGAAGAGUCUAAGUCUGAGCCUGAGGAAAUUACAACCAUUGUUGACAGUGAAGAAGAGAACAAUGAGGAGGAGGAGGAGGAUGUAGGCUCGGAUGAGGAUUACGACGAGGAGAAAUCUGACAGUUCUUUUGAGUCGAGUGGCGAGGAGGAUGAUGAGUCGGAGAAGGAAGAGUCUCAGGAGGAUUCAGGAGAAAAAACGGAGGAGGUUAAGCUUGAAUCGAAAAUGGAAGACGAAAAACUUAGUCUUGAUGAUAGUGAAAUUGAGGUUAUUGAUGUCGAAGACACUGAUGUUUUGAGCGGAGAAGAGGAGGAGGUUAAGGCUGGAUUGAAAAGGAGGAGGUCCUCUGUAACUGCCUCUGUUUCAAACAGAACAAGGUCACAUUGUAAUACAAAAAAAUCUACUAAACUCGGAGCCACUAGUAGCACGAGUGACGAGGAAGAGGAGGAUGAUGACUCGGAAGACAGUGGUGAAAGAGUUGGUGAUGAUGAAACUUCUGGUCCAAGUUUGAAAACCAAGAAACUGAAAAGUGGUGAGCAAGCUCACGGUAUCUCAAGGAGGCAGCCAGCCAAAAAGAGGGCCAAUGCCUUGGAUGACGAUGAUGUUGUCAAGAUUCUCGGAAAUUCUUUGUUCGACGAGGACAAAGUGCUUUCUGAAGAAGAAUGUGAUAUAUCAGAAGGAGAGGAGCUGGACAAGCUCUGGGAUGAAAUGGCGCUUUCUCUUUGUCAAAAUGAUGCCGCGGAGGAGGAAAGCAAAGUUGAUGUUUCUCCUGUGGUCGAACUUCAUACAUAUGCUCUUUGCCAACAAGGGAUUCACCAAUUUAUUCUUAACGAAGAGAUUGGAAUUAUCUGCAAAUUUUGCUCAUAUGUCGAUGUCGAGAUCAAAUAUUAUACCGCCCCUUUCGGUAAAAAUCCAUCGAGAUAUUCAGAAAGGAGAGACCCGUAUGGAGAAAAUUUUGAUCUAGAUGACAAGCUCCAUGAUCAAGAUUACUGUGACGUCUAUGAUUCUUUUACUCCUGCACAAGGCACAGUGUGGGAAAUCAUUCCAGGCAUCGAAAGGGACCUUCAUCAACAUCAACGCGAUGGAUUUGAAUUUAUUUGGAAAAAGGUUGCUGGAGGAAUUCAUCUUAAUAAGCUGAAAGAGCCGACCGAUCUUGAUGGUGAGAGCGGAUGCAUUAUCUCACAUGCGCCCGGGACAGGAAAAACCCGUUUGGCAAUCGUUUUUCUUCACUCCUACAUGAAGCUAUAUCCGAAUUGUAGACCGGUGAUCAUUGCGCCUUGCAGCAUGCUCCUUUCUUGGGAAGCAGAAUUUAAGAAAUGGAAGGUUGAUAUUCCGUUUCACAAUCUCAACCAGACAAGGUUUUCCGGCAAGGAAAAUGCCGCUGCUAUGAAGUUGAUAAAACCUGGACAGCUUAGUGUAAAUUCCAUCCGGAUGGUUAAGCUAUAUUCUUGGAAGAAGUAUAAGAGUGUCCUCGGAAUUAGCUAUAAGCUUUUCGAAGAACUUGUCGGAGAAGACACUAAGAGAAGUAAUGCUAGAAAUAAAUCUAACGGUGAUGUGAGAAAAGCCCUCCUCGAACUCCCGGGUCUCUUGUUUCUCGACGAAGGACACACGCCACGCAAUGACCAAAGUCUUAUCUUCAAGGCAUUGUCGAAUGUACGGACGGAUAAGCGAAUUAUUCUCUCGGGAACUCCUUUCCAAAACAACUUUGACGAGCUGUAUAAUACGCUUCUGUUGGUGCGACCAAAAUUCGCAGAUCGACUAACUUAUAAUAGUGCUUCUCUUGCCAAAAAGAAGGGUGGCGAAAAAAUCAACAGAGCGAAAAAGACUUGGACUUCUCUGACUAGUUCUAUUGUUAAAGAUGGCAACAACACAUUGAAAGUUGAGAUGUUGGAUGAAGUGAGACGGACCAUCGACUCCUUUGUGCAUGUGCAUAAAGGCAAUAUUCUGCAGGAGAGACUUCCUGGUUUGAGAGAUUCCGUGGUUGUUUUGCAACCGGUCAGUUUGCAGAAGCGCCUCCUCGACAAAAUUCAAGCUGAAGGACACCCACAAACUUUUAGAUUGGAAUAUUGCUUAUCUGUAACUUCUGUACAUCCAGCUCUGAUGCCGAAUAAUUCACUUGACGAAAAACAAAUUUUGGAUCCAGAUAUCGGAGUCAAGACAAAAUUUCUCAUGGAGCUUAUUUUGCUUAGUGAAGCCGUCGGCGAGAAGGUUUUAGUAUUCAGCCAAUAUCUCGCUCCACUGAAAUUGAUCGGAAAGCAGCUUGAAUCACGGUUUAAAUGGACUGCAGGGAAGGAAGUGUUACAUAUGCAUGGAGCGGUCGAUGCAGAUCAGCGUCAAUCUUUGAUUAAGGAUUUUAAUGAUAGAAGGAGUGACGCAAAAGUACUGCUUGCAUCAACAAAGGCCUGUUCAGAAGGUAUAAAUCUGGUUGGUGCUUCAAGGGUGGUUUUACUUGACGUGGUGUGGAAUCCAUCGGUUGAACGGCAAGCUAUAAGCCGUGCAUAUAGGCUCGGGCAGCAGAAGGUGGUAUAUGUUUAUCAUCUAAUCGCAUCGGAAACAACCGAAGAGGACAAGUACUGUCGGCAGGCUCGAAAGGAGCGUCUAUCUGAGCUGGUGUUUUACUCUUCGGACAGCGCUCAUAGCUCACAGAAAAUAUCGUCCGGCAUAUCAUAUGAGAAAAAGGAUAAACUUUUGGAAGAAAUAAUCCGCCGCAACAAUCUGAAAGACGAAUUGAAGAAAAUUAUUUACCAACCCAAGGAGUCGUUUUUUCAAGACUCUUUCAAUUUGCUUAAUCUGAGUGAACAGUAGCAGCUGUGUGGGCUAUCGGAAUUUUGGGCAAUAUUCUUACCAGGAAUCAAUACCGGCAGCUAUGCUGAAUGCGCUUCGGAGUUUUGUUUCCGGAACAUAAAUUGCUAUCGGGAUUUUUGGCAAUAUUCUUGUAUAUUCAUAUCAGGAGCUGCUGGAUAGAGGGAACAUGCAGGCUUAUGAAAUUUCAAAAUUAUUUAUUGUAGUGUUUUUCAUUUCCGUGUUUCUCGUUUGAGCAUUUUUCGUUUACAUGUUGCAUAGCAACCGCAGAAUAGAGAGAAAAAGGGUUUAUUUUUUCCAAAUAUGAUAGACAAA